rnacentral:misc_RNA from 1 species
UACGAGGGGUCCUAGCGUUGCUCGGAAUCAUUGGGCGUAAAGCGGGUGUAGGCGGAUAUGUAAGUCAGAAGUGAAAGCCCCGGGCUCAACCUGGGAUGUGCUUUUGAUACUGCGUAUCUUGAGUGUGGGAGAGGGUAGUAGAAUUCCUGGUGUAGUGGUGAAAUACGUAGAUAUCAGGAGGAAUACCGGUGGCGAAGGCGGCUGCCUGGCCCAACACUGACGCUGAGACCCGAAAGCGUGGGUAGCAAACAGG